UUUUUUGAAUACCUUUAUUAUAUAUCUUGAUCUCUCCAUGUGAGAACACAGGCUUUCCUGAUUCAUUUUCAUAGCUUGUAUCACAUUUUGUCAUGUAGAAUUACCAUGUUUUAUUCAACCAGAUCCCUAUAUCUGGACACAUAGAUUUUUCUUAUUCUUUUGCCAUUAUUAAAUGCCACAAUGGAUAAGUUUUUAUAUAUAUAUAUAUGUAUAUAUAUAUCUUUUUGUACUUGUGCAGGUAUAUCUGUAGGAUAGAUUUCUAGAAAUGGUAUUGCUGAGUAAUAGAGUAAAUAUAGCUGGGAUCUUAAAAGAUAUUAUCAGAUUUUGCUCUCUAGGUUCCAUUUUUAAUUUCCACAAGUGAAGUAUAAGAGGGCCUGUUUCCCCCAGCCUCACCCACAAAAGGUGUCUUUUUUUUGAAUUUAUGCCCAUAUAUUAGAUGGGAAAUAGUAUCUCGGUGUAGUUUUAUUGUUCAUUUCUAUUACUGUAAAUUAAGUUUAGCAGCUCUUCAUAUACUUGGACUGUAUUAUUAUUAUCAUUUUUUUCUGUGAGUAGUCUGCUCACAUCAUUGUCAAUUUUUACACUGACCUGUUUUUCUUCUCCAUUCGUAGGACCUUUUUGUGUUUUAUUGAGAAAUUAACCUUCUGUCUGUGAUACAGACAAAAAAGUGCUUUUUUCCUAGUUUGUUAUUUGCUCUUUAUUUUUCUAACAUUUUUAUCCACAUAAAAGAUAUAGAAUUUUGUGCAAAGUAAUCAAUGUUUCUUUCUUUGGCUUUAGGCUGUAGGGUUAUAUUUAGAAAGGACUUCCUUAUUUUAGGGAUAUAAAAGAAUUCAUCCACGUUUCUUCCUAGUACUUAAGUUUGGAAAAUUUAUAAUUUUGCUCAAUUUGGUGUGUAUCUUUCUCCAAAAGACCCUCAAUUUCUUUUCCAAGAAAAUUUAUUAAAAUGCCCCAUAUUACCUCUGAUUUAAUUAUUAUAUUAGGGUUCUUUAGAGGGACAGAACUAAUAGGAUAGAUGUAUAUGUGAAGGGAAGGUUAUUAAGGAGUAUUGACUCACACGAUCAAAAGGUGAAGUCCCACAAUAGGCCAUAUGCAAGCUGAGGAGCAAGGAAGCCGCUUCAAGUCCCAAAACCUAAAAAAUAGGGUAGCUGACAGUGUAGCCUUCAGUCUGUGGCUGAAGGCCUGAGAGCCCCUGACAAACCACUGGUGUAAGUCCAAGAGCUUAAAAGCUGAAGAACUUGGAGUCAGAUGUUCGAGAGCAGGAAGCAUCCAGCAUGGGAGACAGAUGAAGGCUGGAAAACUCAGCAAGCUGACACUCAAUAUUAACCACCACAAGAAGCUCCCCUCUGUGGGGAACCAUCAUAUAAAUGACCUGAUACUACACAGUUUUGCAAAGACUCCUGAUGUUAGAGGAAAAUGCUCUUUGUCGCUGUGCUAUAAGGCUGUCACUUGGAACAAAGAACCAGGUCAAAUGGACUCUUCCUCCAAUUUCAUUCUACUGAAGAUUUUGCCAUUUGAUAAUCCUUUUUCUUGUACCUUUUUUUUUUUUUUGAGACAGAGUCUCGCUCUGUUGUCCAGGCUGGAGUGAAGUGGCACACGCAUGGCUCACUGCAGCCUGCACCCCCCAGACUCAAGCGAUCCUCUCACUUUGGCCACCCUAGUAGCUUGGACUACAGUCAUGCACCACCGCUCCUGGCUAUUGCUAUUAUUAUUUUUAUUUUUUGUAGAGACACGGUUUCACUGUGUUGCCCAGGCUGGUCCUGAACUCCUGGGCUCAAGCAAUCCACCCUCAUCGGCCUCCCAAAAUUCUGGGAUUACGGGUGUGAGCCACCGUGUCUGGCCGAUACCCUUUUUCUAAGUCCCAAAAUGACAGGAAUUAUUCUUUAUUCAUUGUUAUGUCAUCAUGCCUAGUACAUAGUGCAGACUUAAUACAUAUUUUUUUUGAAUAACUACUUGCAAAAGAGAAUUGUAUUUUGGCUAUAGGUUGUAGAAGGGAAGAGUGAGAGAAGAAUGUGGUCUUUUGUUUUUCUCAUUUUGGUUAUAUAUGUAAUGUGUACAUGUCAGCUUAUCAGCUUUAGAAAACAAAAUAAAGGUUAAAUCAUAUAGACAGAUUACAUAUUAGGGCAGGUAAUUAGUGUGCAUGUCAAUGUGGUGGGCUGUGAGAUUAGACACACUUUACAAUACAAUCCCAUGGUUUAUAAAAUGGGUGUUAGAGUCAGUCAGAGACUUGAUUUAAGCUCUGCCCACUUACUGUGUGACUCUGCCACUCACUGCAUGACUUUGAGUGAGUUGCAAUCUUACAUCAUAAGAAUGUCCUGAGGAUUGACUGGAAUAAUAUAUAUAUUACAAAUCGUACUGAGAAUAAUGUCUUAUCCAUAAUAAAGUCUCAGUGGUAUUAUUAUAGUACUAGCACACUAAGAAGAAAACAAUCUGACCCAAUUGAAAAACGAAAUGGUUACUUAUUAUUCUUCAGGUUCCUAAUAUAUUGUCAGAUUUGUUUUUAAAUUUCAAGACCAAAAAACAUUCCUACCAAUCAUAUUGUGUUCUAAUAACAUAUGAAUUGAGUGUUACCACACUGUUUGGCAGUUCAUAAGAAGAGAGGAGAAUAACUGUAUUAGAACAACUAUUGCUAUUACUUAAUAUAUGUAUAUUACUUGAAAGCUGUUUAGUUUAUAUUAGAACCUAUCUAAAGUAUCCACAUACCUGGUGCAGUGUGAAUCUUUC
rnacentral:lncRNA from 1 species